rnacentral:rRNA from 1 species
UAAGACAGCUGGAUGAUAGCCGGGCUGAAGACUCUGCUUGACUAGCUGAGAGAGGUGCAUGGCCGUCGUCAGUUCGUACUGUGAAGCAUCCUGUUAAGUCAGGCAACGAGCGAGACCCACGCCAACAGUUGCCAGCAUGUCCUCCGGGAUGAUGGGGACACUGUUGGGACCGCUCUGCUAAAGAGGAGGAAGGAAUGGGCAACGGUAGGUCAGCAUGCCCCGAAUUAUCCGGGCUACACGCGGGCUACAAUGGUCAGGACAAUGGGUAUCAACACCGAAAGGUGAAGGCAAUCUCCUAAACCUGUCCUUAGUUCGGAUUGUGGGCUGCAACUCGCCCACAUGAAGCUGGAAUCUGUAGUAAUCGCGUCUCAAAAUGGCGCGGUGAAUAUGUCCCUGCUCCUU